CCUCCCGGGGAUGGAGGGGACACUGUUGGGACCGCCUCUGGCUAAAGAGGAGGAAGGAAUGGGCAACGGUAGAUCAGCAUGCCCCGAAUUAAUUGGGCUACACGCGGGCUACAAUGGGUGGGACAAUGGGUAUCGACACCGAAAGGUGAAGGCAAUCUCCUAAACCCAUCCGUAGUUCGGAUUGUGGGCUGCAACUCGCCCACAUGAAGCUGGAAUCUGUAGUAAUCGUGUUUCAAAAUAGCACGGUGAAUAUGUCCCUGCUCCUU
rnacentral:rRNA from 1 species